UGGCAGAAUGGGGAUUCCAGCCAUGUUUUGAGGAUCUUUGACGAGGAGGCACAAGCUAUGCAAUCGGUUUGAAACUCAAGGCUUGAGCUGCAGAAUUCUACUGCACUUGGAGAAACCAUCCUUUCAUCAAUACAUGGGCAAAUGGAACGCUUGAAGAGUGCUCAUAGGAAAGCAUUGGAUAUGCUGAACACAUUGGGGAUGCCAAAUUUUGUUUUGAGGCUAGUUGAGCGAUGUGCU